GAGCAAGUCUAACAAAUAGCAACUCAUCCUUUCUGUCACUGAAGAUCAAAUAAUUAGGAAAGAGCAAGAACGCGUGCUGAUAGCGAGUGACUUAUCUGGGAAGGAAUCCAAGAUGUCUGUUGAAGAGAGCCUACCCUAUAAAUGAGGCAGCCAUGAAAGCAUAAUUAGGAAGGAAUGACAUGGUCAUGUCAGGUUUGCAUGUUGGUAAGACCAUUCAGAUAGCUCUAUGGAGACUAAAUUUAGCAGAGAACACUGGAGUUAGGAAAACUGAUUUGGAAGCUAUUGCACUGGGACUGGCAGGAGCAUAUGAAGACUGGAGCAAAAAAGUGGACAUGACAAUGAAGAAAAAUGGGGACAUUUGUCACACAUGAUUUCAAGGAGUUAAUAAACACAAGAUGCUUGGUACAGAACAUGGCACUGGAGAGGUCCAUGGAUUUGAAAAAUGAGGAAGACAGAAGAAUGUAGCCGAAAACAACAUGUUCCAGGAAUGCCAGGGAGGAAAGGCAGCACAUCAGGAAGGAAAAGUGAAGAGAGCUCAGAGGUUAACAAGAACAGGGGGUUUGGAUUUGACCUAGUAAGUGGGACAUAGUAUGGACCC